GGGUCAGUAGGUUGGUCGUGCCACCGGUACGUACUGGUCUCACUGAUUCCUCCUUCCUGAAGAACCGUAAUGCCAUUCAUUUGGUGUUGCGGGGAAACAGGACUGUUACUUUGAAAAAAUUAGAGUGUUUAAAGCAAGCUAACGCUUGAAUACAUUAGCAUGGAAUAAUGAAAUAGGACGAUCGAUGCUAUUUUGUUGGUUUCUAGGAUUGACGUA
rnacentral:rRNA from 1 species